AGACGGUGCCUUUCAGGCAUCCUCUCCUAAAACUUUACGGGCCGGUCUUUGCGAAGACCGGCCCUUUUUUUGCGAUUGU
rfam:Sphingomonadales bacterium GWF1_63_6 gwf1_scaffold_7821, whole genome shotgun sequence.